GACGUUUCUGGCUGAGCCAUAUAAAAAAUGCAAAUAAUUUGCUAGCGCUUUACAGCGCGACAAGGCAGCAAGUAAAGCAAGGAUCCCCGAGUCCUCAUCCUCAUCCUUAUCCAAGCCCGGUCCUGUUCGCAUCUUAUAGAACUGUUACCAUAGCCACCACCCACGUGGCCCGCGGCAAAAAAGACGCAAGCGCGUAAAGUCAAAAACGUUUUAAUAUUUAUGGCACAUUAUAUGGCUUGUGGGCUUACUUUAGCAUCGGCUACAGCUACAGCUUCAGUUUCAGCAUCAGCUUUGGCUUUGGCUUUCGCUUCGGAUGCGAUAUCCGAAGAAUCCAUGUUUGUGUAAUGUAUAUAUUGUAUGCCUAAAUAUGUGCCUCAUGCAUGUUUUAUGGCGACGGGGCAAUUUGGCCAUAGCAAAUCGUGAUAAAUGCUGUGCUUCGCCCUCAUAUGCUAAACGCAUGAAAUCUUUAAGAAAUCGAAUAAAAGUGUCGUAAACAUAAUUGUACUCGGCAAAAAGGCACAAUAAAAAAUAACCAUUAAAUAAAUAGAUGAGCUAAAAACAGUAUAUUCUAUCGAAAGAUACUGUAUAUAAUUAUUUUAAAACGAUUUUCAAAUCUAUUCGCAAUGCAAAAUGGUUUUAUACUAACAUUUGUUAUCCAAGAAAACUCACAAGUGCAGUGCAAAACUUUUCUAUAGCAUACAUUUUGGGGUUUGACAGGGCGUUCAAGUGGGUGGUAAAAAUCUCAUUUAUCGUUCGCUCUCUUCUUGAGAAAGUGUCAUUAGCCGAGGCGUUUGGGCUACCUCUCCUAAUUGAACUUUUUCCAUCUCUCUCUGGUCGCGACUCCCCUGCUCUUUCUCGCAUAGAAGUUGCAAAAAAAAAAAACGCUUACUGCGCCAGCUAAGUACCGUAAUCAAAGUUUAAUUACACGGCCAUUGAAAGCGGAGCGAAAGAGGAGGCAAUAGAGAUGGCGAAAGAGACGGCAGGAGACAGGAAGGGAGCAUUUUUUGCGUGCUUUAUCUCGGCUGCUUUGAGUAAUCAUGGGUUGACUAAAAUAUUUCGAGGCGUUCAACCGCUUAAUUAGCAGCAAACGUGGAGCUGGCUAAAAAUUAAUUUUUUUUUAGCACAUUAUAAUUGACUUGCGUUGAGAUGAAUCUAUGCACUCCAUAAAUCACAAAAAAAAAGUGUUUAAAGAUGGUGUUUAGAAAGAAAAGCGUUUUAAAGCUCGUGCUAUCAAUUUAAUAAACUAAAAUUAAACUUUUUGCUAACUUUCAUGUGAAUGUGCACAUUUCGAAAAUUAAAACUCAUCUCUAACCGAGCGAGCAAUAUUCGCAAUAUGCAAGCCAUAAACAAGUGAUAAAAUGAAAUUGUAAAGUAAUCCCGAAUUAGGAUCAACGGCAAAUGUUCGUGUCAUGGUCUGGCAAGGAAUUAUGUUUAAUAUGUGCGUGAGUUGCAUGUGUGCGUGUGCGUGGGAAUGCAAAUAUACGCACGAAUACAUACAUACAUAUAUCCCUGAAUGUGUCAGCUAUUGUGUGGAACGUAAUUUGUGGCCUGGCCGCAUGUUACACAUUUGCAAGCUGACAAUUUCAUUUAAAUUUCAUGCAAGACAUGCGGAGACGUCGCAACAACAAGGUCCCACUGCCUGGGCCGAAGCCAUAUGUCUUUAGUGUCCGUCCGAGGUUAUAUCUGUCCCUGGCCAACUAAACAUGACAGCAUUUUGAAACUUUACGUGAUUUAUUAUCACCCACGCAAACACCACACGCAGCACCCACACACACAUGUACGCACACAAAUGCUUGUCGAACCACAAAACAUUGGCCAGAGAUUAGAGGCACUUGCAUUCAAUUGGAUUGGCUGACAAAUGCAAUUUAAUGAACAGCAAAUAUAGACGAUAAUUCAGUUCACAUAAAUUAAUGAAACUAUUGAUAUUGGUUUGGUCGAAUAAACAAAAUGAUUGCUGACGCCUUGAUUGGUUCUAUUGGGUUGUUUUCGGCUAAUAAUGACAAUUGAUUAAACGUAAUGAGCAAAGAUGCAGCUUGUUAAAAAUGGCUAAAUUGCCCAAUCAAUGCGUUUUAUUUGCUUUUCAGUAACUUGUUGUUUUGGCACAUUGCCUUCACUUAGCCAACUGACCUGUUCUUGGUAAAAAAAAGACGCAUCUGUGAAAGGAAAAGACCUCAAUAAAGUUCACAGCACUCAUACGCCGUGUGCUGGCAGUCAGUUAGCACUCAUACGCAGUGUGGGACAACAGAGAGCAACGAUGACUGACUGUGGCCAAUAAACUGCUCGUUAUUUGACUUUUCCACAAGUCUCCAAAGGGAGAAAGGAGAAAUGUUGGGAUGCUGGGUUGAAGUAGAAGGAUUGUAAUUGCCAGCUGUGCAGCGGAUCAGGAAAGUUAAAUCGGCAAGGCGAAAAGUGCAAGGCUAAUGGGGGGAAAUGGCCAAACUGCUGCUGAAUGCGAGAUAUUCAAUGGCUGUGUGGUAAACAUGAUUCAAUUGCCAAUCUGCAGAUACAUAUGUUUGUAGCAAGCCCCUGCACUUGCCGACCAUUCAGCCCUGCAAUCUGGGUGCACUGGGCAUUGGGCCCAAUACCAAAAGGUCCGACCAUCUUUGAGGUGGGCACAAAACGGUGUAAUCGAAUAUUGAUUAAGUGCAGUUAGAACCUGUUUGGAAUUCAGAAUUCAGGGUCUAUGGACGGCACCACCAUGAUACGUUGCAGUUAAACGUUGAUAAUGCACCCUGUGGCCAGCAGGCUGCUGCUUCACUCUGUUCUGGCUUGGCAGGCCGGAAAAUUGAAGCACUUGCCUGGAACCGGGCGUCCUGGAUCCCGAUCCUUUGUCCUGCUACUACUUUUGCCUGGGCUGCUCCUUCUCCUGCUGCUGCUGCUGUUGCACGAAAAACAACAUUGAAAAUGUAAGCGAGACGAGGCGGCGCAGCUGCCGGCCCUCUUCUCCAGCGUUUUUUGUACAGCUUUCCUCUUUUUUGUCCGUUUUGGCAAUGAGUUUUGAUUGCUUUUGGCCGGGACCCGUUUCGGGUGCACUGACCCCGUUUCCGCUUGUUAUCGAUUUGACAAGGGGCAAGGUGUGCGGUGUGGCGUGGAGUGGACGCCACCACCUCGAGGCAAUUGCUGGUUACCUCCUUUGGCACUUGACUGCCAGUCAGCCAGGAGUUCGUACCUCCCACUACUAUUUUCUUCCUUUUUUUCAUUUGCUGGCCGUUUUAUUUCUGUCGUUUCUUGUGUUUGCUCAGCUCGGAUUUAACCAGAUGCCAUGCACUUACAUAUACACAAACGAAUGUGUGUAAUACCUCUUGGCGAUUUUAAUUGAUAUUGCCCGACAUUUUUUGAGCUGCGAAAUCAAAGUUUAAUUUAUUUUAAUUAAACACAUUUGUCACAAAAAACACACAUUCUGGUUUUUCGGUUUCACACAAUAUGACGAUGACAGCACAAGCUUCAAUUAAAUAGUUAUGUGUAUGCGAGUCUAUGGUAUAUAUGCUAUGAUAAAAAUUCGCGCACAAUAAGCUGUGAAUUUUCGUUUGACAAAAUUAAACUAAAAAAAAAGAGCACGAAAGAUUAAUUUCGUUGGCAGCAACAAUUGGGAUAUUGGGAACAUUUUAACUAGCCUGGUUUCAUAUGAAAUGCCUGUUCUAACUACUACUCUCAUAUUAUUACGUUAUUUUACUUCAGUGAGCUGUAACCCCAUGAACUUUGGAAUGACGUGAACUCACAAACCUGACAAAGUGCCACAUGGAACGCGAAUAGAAAUAUGAAUCGCAGAGUUCGUGCCCAAGUGCCGUCGGCAUUCAUUUCAAUUUAGUGGCGUUGAUUGCUGGCGACACUGUCAGAUGUUUCAGUAAUUCAAUUGAUUAGUUUGCUGCCGAUUCAACUUGUGCCAUAUAUUCAACACCACCGCAAGCUUAAAUUCAAAUUGAAAAACAUUUCUCCGUACUUGAGCAAAUGUUUUCGGUUGCAAUGCAAUUUAUUUUGGCUAAAUCUUUUGCAGCAUAUUGCAUAUUGUGCGGCAUGCAACUCGUCGAGUGCCAGAUGAAAAGUUAAGGGAAUUUUCGGUCAUCCCGCAAACACACUUAGUGGCGAAAAUUUUGCCACUUGUGCACGAAGAAAAUCUGAAAAGAAAUUUGCUUGAGUACGAUUUUAUGCAAAAUUAAUGAAAUAUGCAGCUUCUACUGUGCGGCAUUCUGCAGAUGGCGUUGACAUCAUGAGUGGCCCGCUUCAUCUCAUCUCCACCCUUUCUAAGCCACUUGAGCCAUCUGAGUUUUGUGGCUUUAACAUUCAAAGCCACUCUGGCCUAAUAUUCUUGUUGUUUAGUUCCAGAAACUUUUAUUUGUUGUUCGUCGUGGCUGUUGUUGUUGUUGUUGUUGUUGUGCAGCCGCUUGUUAUCAUUGCAUUUCAAUGUGUGAAACUGACAGCAUCAGCAAGGCUAGAGAGAGAUGCUAGAUGCGGUGUGAAAGAGAGAGAGCGUGCGAGUGGCAAGAUGCAAUUGCCACCAUAUGGUGUCAAGUGGCAUUUUGAAAUGCUCUCAAUCCGUUUGUUUGUCGAUUUGUUUAUCUACGCAACAAAGCCCGGGCAGCAUCAAUAAGCUGCAAUGCCUUACAGAUGCACAAAGCGCAUCUAUCGGAUUGUUACGCCUAAUUGAAGUGCAAAAUCAAAAAUGGCCAACAUCUGUUCUGGGUCAGCCAGAAAUAACGCAUGACGUAAGCGCAAUGUAGAAAAAUAAUAGAUAUUAAAUCGCAAUGACGUUAAUGGCAAAUUAAGCUCAUAAUUCUAAACAAGUUUUUGUAAUGUUUAAGAACUCUAUAUAUAGCUUUUAAUAUGAAAUGUCAAAAAAAAAGCAAUCUUAAUAAUCUCUUUUGUUUUAUGUUUAUUGAUUGAUCAAUUAACUUGAAACUCUAGUUCCGUGACAAUA
rnacentral:sRNA from 1 species